rnacentral:misc_RNA from 1 species
GAUAAGAACGUAGCGAAAUGCGAUAAGUAAUGUGAAUUGCAGAAUUCAGUGAAUCAUCGAAUCUUUGAACGCACAUUGCGCCCGCCAGUAUUCUGGCGGGCAUGCCUGUUCGAGCGUCAUUACAACCCUCAGGCCCCCGGGCCUGGCGUUGGGGAUCGGCGGAAGCCCCCUGAGGGCACAACGCCGUCCCCCAAAUACAGUGGCGGUCCCGCCGCAGCUUCCAUUGCGUAGUAGCUAACACCUCGCAACUGGAGAGCGGCGCGGCCACGCCGUAAAACACCCAACUUCUGAAUGUUGACCUCGAAUCAGGUAGGAAUACCCGCUGAACUUAAGCAUAUCAAUAAGCGGAGGA